CCCUUAGAUGUUCGGGGCCGCACGCGCGCUACACUGAAGGACUCAGCGUGUCUCUCCCCCUAUCCCGAAAGGGAUGGGCAACCCGUUAAACCUCCUUCGUGCUAGGGAUUGGGGUUUGCAAUUAUCCCCCAUGAACGAGGAAUUCCCAGUAAGCGCGAGUCAUCAGCUCGCGUUGAUUACGUCCCUGCCCUUUGUACACACCGCCCGUCGCUACUACCGAUUGGAUGGUUUAGUGAGACCCUCGGAUCGGUCCCGACUCGGGGUGGGCUUCUGCCCCGGUCGUGGUUUCGCCGAGAAGACGGUCAAACUUGACUAUCUAGAGGAAGUAAAAGUCGUAACA
rnacentral:rRNA from 1 species